UACGUACUGGGCGAACGUUAAUCGGAAUUACUGGGCGUAAAGCGCACGCAGGCGGUCUGUCAAGUCGGAUGUGAAAUCCCCGGGCUCAACCUGGGAACUGCAUCCGAAACUGGCAGGCUAGAGUCUUGUAGAGGGGGGUAGAAUUCCAGGUGUAGCGGUGAAAUGCGUAGAGAUCUGGAGGAAUACCGGUGGCGAAGGCGGCCCCCUGGACAAAGACUGACGCUCAGGUGCGAAAGCGUAGGGAGCGAACAGG
rnacentral:misc_RNA from 1 species